UGGGGAAUAUUGCGCAAUGGGCGAAAGCCUGACGCAGCGACGCCGCGUGAGGGAUGAAGGUUUUCGGAUCGUAAACCUCUGUCAGAAGGGAAGAAACCGCACUGUGCUAAUCAGCAGUGCCUUGACGGCACCUUCAAAGGAAGCACCGGUUAACUCCGUGCCAGCAGCCGCGGUAAUACGGAGGGUGCAAGCGUUAAUCGGAAUUACUGGGCGUAAAGCGCACGUAGGCUGCUUUGUAAGUCAGGGGUGAAAUCCCACGGCUCAACCGUGGAACUGCCUUUGAUACUGCUUAGCUUGAAUCCGGGAGAGGGUGGCGGAAUUCCAGGUGUAGGAGUGAAAUCCGUAGAUAUCUGGAGGAACAUCAGUGGCGAAGGCGGCCACCUGGACCGGUAUUGACGCUGAGGUGCGAAAGCGUGGGGAGCAAACAGG
rnacentral:rRNA from 1 species